rnacentral:tRNA from 1 species
UGGAUCACCUCCUAACAGGGAGACAAACAAUGAUUUUGAUGCCUGAGUACUUUUUUUCUUAGGCCUAAAUCCUGUCUCCUUAAGGCGAUCGGUACCUCAACUUCAGUGGUCAGAGAGCUUGUUCUGCUGAUGCUUUGAUUUUUAGUUCCUAAUUUUUGUCUAGGUCAUCCCAUAAAGGGUUCCCUUCCUGGGCCAUUAGAUCAGGUGGUUAGAGCGCACCCCUGAUAAGGGUGAGGUCCCUGGUUCAAGUCCAGGAUGGCCCAUUCUCCUGGGAUUUUGGAUCAUUUGGGGGUUUAGCUCCCUGAUAAGGCGCCUGCUUUGCAAGAAGGAUGUCAUGGGCUCUAGUCCGCUAGCCUCCACUAACACUACUGAAGUCCGAAUCCAGGAAGAGCUUCUUGGUUGGUGACUAGACGUUGUUCGAUCAGAAUCCACUGGGUCGUCCAGCCUUAUUCAGCCUCGGCUCAUUUGUUUGACACUUUGGUGUUGAUCUGAUUGAGCUGAUGCUGAAUUCACUCUCGAAAGAGAGAGGAUUUGGCAGAACCUUGACAACUGCUUCUUGAGUCUGGAAAGACAAAAGCAUCUCAUAGAGAUCUGAACGUCUUUCGCCGCAAGGCGAUUGAUGAACUGAUGAUUCUAUUUUUGACAGCCGAGACCUUCUAGCGUUCUUCCCAAUCCGCCGAGGAGCGGGGAGUUUGAUCCUUGUUUCUAACUGGAGCAGUAAUGCUUUAAGAGAAACUUGAGAGAAUGGGCCUCAACAGCCUGAAGCGUUAGGAAGAUUAAUUGGUCUAGCUACAAAGGGCUCACGGUGGAUACCUUGUCACACAGAGGCGAUGACGGAA